CCAGGAAGAUCAAUUCAGUAGUGAUGGAGGAGACUACUCCUUAGAGUGGCCAACUGAAAGCAACCAAGUGCUGCUGUUUCCUCAGACGCUAAGGUUUCUGGAGAACUUUGUAGCACAUGGCUUUGUAAGGAAGUUACAAAUCUAAUCAACCAGGGAUUAUGUGAUACAGUGGGAACCUUUUCUAAAACAUACUCCAGAAUUAAUCAUUUCUUCCUGGGAUGUUACUGGAUAAUCAUCUCCUAACCAGGGAAAGAUCACCAACAACUACACAG